UUCCAUAUCGGUGGUCUACUUUCUCUAAUGAUGACGAUAUGGAAAGCAACUGCAAGAAACGUAAUACAUUAGGCUACUGUUAAGGACGCAAAGCUUUUCUUUUUCUCCGCAAAGCUGUUGUCGCCCAUAUUCGGUUAUUUAAAUUUAACGUUAAGUAUAUAUAUUUACGCAACUGGUAGGCUCAUAAGUACCAUAAACCUCCUUCAUAACAGUGAUUUGCUUUCGGCGAUCACUGUGCUCUCUAGUAGUGGCUAUCCGUGCCGCUUCGAAUACAAGCCAGAAAGCUGAGCAGCAAACGUCAUCCGGUGUCAAGUGUUCGGGCCGUCACACUAAAUGAGUAAGAGCUCAUUCCCUGAUUACAGAAGUCAUUACAGGGUCAACCGAGGGACGAAGAGGGGAACAGGAAUGAAGUCUGGCAGUGAAAGAGGUUUGGAAGGGAGUGAGCGAGGCAUUCUUAAAAGAGGGAAGCCAGUUACCCUGCCGUGUGCUCAUUCUUAAUAAAAUACAGACAUCAAACAGGCUAGCUCCUUCAGCUCCUAGGAUGGUAACCUUGGCUACGGGAACCGGGGCUUCCGUGCUGUGAAGGCGGAGCUGGCUGCCAAAAAUGCAGCCCAUUGGCUAAGCCCCCAAACAAGAGACAAUGAUUGGCCAUAAAUCACCGGAGUCUCGGAGCUCGUAGGAGAAGUGUUCCAGGCUCGCCUGUCAUAGUUCCUGUUCCUUCACUCAGUGACUGAUCCCUGCUAAGAAAACACCUUUCACAGAGCAGCAUGAGCCACCAGACCUCAGUGUUGCUGUUGGCACCUGCAUGGGAGAGCAGUGGACCUUAGAAAAGGGGCCCAGUAUUGUUCCAACAGCUAGCAAGAACAGGAAGGACAGCUUCAUGAACUCUGAAAUCAUGCGUUUUUCUUUGUUUUUUUCCAGGAAGUGCAAAUUUAGUGCCUUGAAAUUAAUUUCAAAUGAAGCCACGGUUAUCUAAUUCAACACCUUGGUUUGAGUUUUCACUGUGGUGAGUAACUAUGCCCAGAGUAAACAGCCACCACGCCAGCUGUACAAUCACACACACACACACAGGCACACACACAGGACACAUAUGGAUGCAUGCAUGAAUGUGCAAAUACACACACACACAUCUGUUACCCCAUUAGCCACAGCCAGUAAAAAAAACAGCAACGCAGGGUACUUUAAUACCUUUAGGAGUGUGUUUAGAAUCUUCCUUCCAAAAUUGCUGGAUCGUCAUUCACUGUGCUAUAACCAUAGGAAGCAGCAAAAGUAUGGAAACUAUAUUUAAAUGUACUCAACAUGUCAGAUUGAGAGAUUGAGGGCAAGCUAGGUGUGAUGGCUUUGUGAAAAUAAUGUAGAAUGUAUGUAUUGUAAUAGUCUGCCACUCAGACUCAGGUCUGCCACUCACACUCAGUUAAGGUGAUAGAUAGAUUAGGAAGCCUUUGUUUUGAUGUAACUGAAGGUUUUGCACGUUCAAUAAAGGAACUGUGCCGUUCUGCUGCAGAUAGAAGAUAGGUGAAGUCAUUUUUUCAGGUUUUUUUUUCAGUGUAUGUUUGAUUGUGUUUUGUAUUUGACGUCUUUCGGCAUUCACCAAUACAUGAAUUAAUGGAUAUGAGCCGAGGACAGACUCCUUCCCGUCACCAGCAGGAAACAUGAAGCAUUUCAAACACAUUUCCGCAGUCGGCCAUCCCCUGUAAUCAGACUGUCAGUCAGAUCACAGCCAUUACACAGUAGUUAGGUUUCAAAGCAAGUUUGUCAUUCUACUGCGCAGACAUAGGCGAUUGCUCACACACACACACACACACACACACACACAC